UAUGGUACUUGUGGGAAAGCCGCCGCGGUAAUACGGAAGGUCCGGGCGUUAUCCGGAUUUAUUGGGUUUAAAGGGAGUGUAGGCCGGAGAUUAAGCGUGUUGUGAAAUGUAGACGCUCAACGUCUGCACUGCAGCGCGAACUGGUUUCCUUGAGUACGCACAAAGUGGGCGGAAUUCGUGGUGUAGCGGUGAAAUGCUUAGAUAUCACGAAGAACUCCGAUUGCGAAGGCAGCUCACUGGAGCGCAACUGACGCUGAAGCUCGAAAGUGCGGGUAUCGAACAGG
rnacentral:rRNA from 1 species